rnacentral:tRNA from 1 species
GGAUGGGUGGCCGAGUGGUUGAAGGCGUACGAUUGGAAAUCGUAUAUAGGUGAAUAACUUAUCGGAGGUUCGAAUCCUCUCUCAUCCGCCA